rnacentral:rRNA from 1 species
CACGUAGGGGGCAAGCGUUGUCCGGAAUUAUUGGGCGUAAAGCGCGUGUAGGCGGCCAGAUAAGUCCGCUGUGAAAUCUCGAGGCUCAACUUCGAGCUGUCGGUGGAAACUGUCUGGCUAGAGUCCGGAAGAGGAGAAUGGAAUUCCUGGUGUAGCGGUGAAAUGCGCAGAUAUCAGGAAGAACACCAGUGGCGAAGGCGGCUCACUGGUCCGGUACUGACGCUGAGGUGCGAAAGCGUGGGGAGCAAACAGG